GUAUAGAUAAACUGGUAGAGUUUUAUGGAAGUCCCAAGGAUGAUGAAUUCCAAGGACAUCGGAUACAAGUUCGAGCCCAGUUCAAUGAAGUGAAUAUGAGAACAGAGCUUGAAACUUUUAAAAGACAUCUGUUCAUGCUGAGCCCUUUUGUCUUUUUCCCUGAGUUUUGUUGCUGUGUUAUUAGACAGAUAGCAGAAAUAACCAAUUCAAUGUUGAAGGAGAAGAGGUUGCAGCUCAGUACAUGGUGUAUACAAAGAAUUUUGUAAGGAUGAUGUGUUGAAGGAGUGUUUUCCAGUAGUCUUUCACCUGUACUAUCUUGCCAUGAUCAUUCCUUCUUCUACAGCAGUGGUGGAGAGGGGCUUUUCUUUAAUGUCAAAUAUUGUUUCAAAGAAAAGAAACAGACUUACUGAAAAAAAUACAGAUGCGCUUAUGCGCAUUUGUCACACAAACAAAGAUUUGACUGACAAUGAUUUGGAAACUAUUGUAACCAACUUUAAAGGCCUUAAAAAAAGGAAGCUUGAUAUGUAAUUUAAAAAUAAAAAAAGAAAGCAUCAUAUUUGUA